GUGCAAAGCCCAGGCACAGGGUUCAGACUCCAUCUUCUGUGUUCUUCUUAAUUGACAAACUGCAAUGGCUGUCUUCAGAGUCUUGGUUUUCUAUGGUGGUCAACUCCUGAGUUCUUAUGAUGUCGCUGGGCACAGAAAAAAUAAACGGAGAAGGAGACUACAACUCAGGAGCAGCUGGAUGAGAUGGAAGAGAUCCCCAGAGAGAGCCAGUGUGGGAGGCAGGACUUCCAUGCCCUCUCCUGUCCCACCGCCUCCCCAAGAGACAGAGUCUUGCUCUGUUGUCCAGGCUGGAGAGCAAUGGUGCCAUCAUAGCUCACUGCAGCCUUGACCGCCUGGGCUCAAGCGAUCCUCCCACCUCAGCCUCCUGAGUAGCUGGGACUACAGGUGUGCACAACCACACUCGGCCAAUUAUUUAUUUAUUGUCCGUCUCUCCAGUGAAAUGGUCCUGAAAAUUAGCUGUAAGAUUAUCAUCUUUUUGGGACAAGAUGACCUCUGCAGUCUCUCCAGC
rnacentral:lncRNA from 10 species